AACAUGUCUUUUAGAUUAUAAUUUAAAGUCUGAUCUGCUCAAUGAAUUAAUUAAAUAGCUGCAGAAUUUUGACUGUACAAAGGUAGCAUAAUCAAUAGUUUUUUAAUUGAAAGCUGGUAUGAAUGAUUUGAUAAGGUAUUUAUUGUCUCAAAUUUAAUAAAUUUAAAAAUUUUUUUUUAGUAAAAAUACUAAAUUAUUUUUAAAAGACGAGAAGACCCUAUAGAUUUUUAUAUUUUUAAUUAAAAAAUAUUUAAAUUAAUAAAUAAAUUUUUAAUUAAAAAUAUUUGAUUGGGGAAAUUAUUAAAUUAAUAAAAUUUUAAUUAAUUAAGACAAUAAUUAUUGAAUAAAAGAUUUUUAAUUAAAAAUUUUAAGAAUUAAUUACCUUAGGGAUAACAGCGUUAUUUUUUUUGAGAGAUCUUAUUGAUAAAAAAGUUUGCGACCUCGAUGUUGAAUUAAGAUAAAAUUUUAAUGAAGAAAUUAAAAAUUUUUGGUCUGUUCGACCAUUAAAAUCUUACGUGA
rnacentral:rRNA from 1 species